UGUUUUACUCUGAGAAGUAGAGUGGAAUUGCAGACCAUUCCACCAUCUAAAAACUCUAUUUUGAUCUCCCACCCUGAUAUGUGUCUCUUGAGCAAAAAUUGUAUCAGGUUGGAAUCAGUUAAUAAUUUUAAAAGUCUUUUUUCGUUUAAUAGGAUGAUUCCAACUACGUACAUUCCAACUUAUUAUAUUAAUCUGUUUAAAUACCAUACUAUAAUUUUAUUCUACAUUAUACAUGCACAGAGCACCUACCAAUACGGGAUGAUCAAAGAUGGCGGUGAUGAAGAAUACAACCAAAUAAAAAAUACGCAUGCUCCGGAACCACCCAAUGGGAAAAAACUACAACUAGAGUUAAGGGUGAAAGGCAGACCAACCAUUGCUCAGAGCAGAAAAUUUCAACGUGGCUUGAAAACUGUGACAACACUUUAUAUUAACAUUAUAUAGAAGAAACUUCCAACUUUGCAGUAACAGAGGCUUCUCCUCACAGCUCCCAUCGGACAGGAGGAACACAAGUCUGAAGUCCCAUGCAACCAGGUUCAGGAACAGCUACUUCCCUUCAACCAAUUGGAUUGAGAAUGAACCGACACAACCCUAAUCACCAUCUCAGUACAGCAACACUGUGACCACUUGAUUUCCAGCAUCUGCAGUUUUGACUUUCACCUCCUGCUCCAACUGCAGAAGAACUUGGAGGACCCACAUGGACAGCAGCCACAGAACGAGAGUGGAAGGAAGUCAUCCCAACUCAGGCGGGAUAUACAUAGAAUAGUCCUCACAGUACAGGCCCUUCAGCCCACAACAUAGUGCUGACCCUUGAACCUACUCCCGCCGCUGACAGUAAGCAGAUUGUAUGUUCGCCCCACGACCACGUGGGUUAACUGUGGGUGUUCCAGUUUCCUUGCACAUUCAGGUUAAUAAGUUGUGGACACGCUAUAUUGGCACUGGAAGCAUGGCGACACUUGUGGGUUUCCGCCAGCACAUUGCAAAAUAAACAGAAUAGAAUUCCUCUCCGUGCCUUGUGGCACCUCAGGCAGCCACCUUGCCAUUUCUGUCCUAUUUGUCUGUUUUACGAGGCCAAAUUGCUAGCUCGAUGCUCAGCCCACCACAACUAGAAAGCGUGCAAGGAGCUGGCCGGAUUUGGACCCAGGACCAACCGCCUUGAAGGCCAGCGUGGAUGCUACUACGCCACCGGCCAAUUGUAAAAUAAGAUGAUAACGCAAACAAUGCAUUUCACCAUGUUUCAAUGUACAUGUAAAAAAUAAAGAUUUUUAACUGUCCACUUUCAUCCGUAGAUGCUGCCUGACCCACUGAGUUCCUCCUGCAUUCUGUGUGAGU